rnacentral:rRNA from 1 species
GACGAACCGAGCGAACGUUGUUCGGAAUCACUGGGCUUAAAGGGCGCGUAGGCGGGCGAUCAAGUCAGGGGUGAAAGCCCCCAGCUCAACUGGGGAAGUGCCUCUGAUACUGAUCGUCUCGAGGGGGAUAGGGGCGUGCGGAACUUCCGGUGGAGCGGUGAAAUGCGUAGAUAUCGGAAAGAACACCAACGGCGAAAGCACUCUGCUGGGCCGACACUGACACUGAGAGACGAAAGCUAGGGGAGCAAAUGGG